rnacentral:lncRNA from 8 species
AUGAAUAUACAGGUACGCAAAUCACGUUGUUUCUCAUUGUCUGGCUCUGUCAAGAAGAUGAAGGAAAGCUUUUCUGGAUAUUUAAGUCCAAGUUCUUUUUUAUUUUUUGAAAAGUCCAAGUUUAUUUCCUGUAGCGUCCUUUGUACAUACAUUACCAAGAGUGGUUUUAUGUGCUUCACAUUAUAUAUAUAUAUAUAUAUAAAGAGAGAGAGAGAGAGUUUUAUUAACAAAAAAGAAAAGCCUUAAAGCUGAAGGAACCGAAUGAAGUGUGAAGUAAAAUACGUAGAAUAGACUAAGCGAGGCCUUAAGUGGUUAAUUGUUAGACCUAAGUACUAGUAUAUGGUUACUAAGUAUGAGCACAUUAAACUUGGUUUAGCCCCUUUUUCCCUCUAGUCUAGUGGCUACACUUAUGUAAAAGAAGAAUUCUAUUUUAUAGCUGACAGAUUUGAAGCUACAGUGCUGGCACUGCCAUCUAUUGACGGACAAUGAAAAAACAGCCUGCAUCAAUUUCUAUGGACCUUUUUUUUCUAACUCUACAUAAUGCUUUUCUACAAACUUUUUUUAACACACCUCUUCCAUUAUAAUAUUACCUUUGAGACUGCUUUUGGCUCUUUUUUAUGAACUUUUAGGAGUUAGGAUUAUACAUUGGUGUUCAAAUCAUGUUUGUGCUGUGGCGGUCUCACCUCACUUCUGUUUAUUUAGUUGCAUAGCUCAAAAACUUUUUUCUUAUUUAAGUCAUUUUCUCCCUUAGACAAUUGUUUGCUAGUGGCUGGAUUUCAGAUAAGAAUGUGUCAAAGCCAUUGUGUUUGUUCAAUGUCAAUUUGAAAUAAACAUUUUGUACAAAUAUCCCAUCUUUGCCUUUUGUACUGAAUCUUGUAUUAAAGGGAUAGUUUACCCAAAUUAUAAAAUGACUCAUUGGUUUCCUUACCCUAUAAGGUAUAACAGCAAUUCAUGCUUUGGUUUAGUUUCCCUGGCAAUAUUUCCGCAUGCUAACAAUUUUAGCAUUUGUGGCACAAAUCCCAUUCAAGUCAUGGGACUGAUAUUAGCAUUUUUUGUUGUUGCAUCAUGUCCAAAUAAUCUAAAAGUAUCUAAAAUGUAUUGUGAAGCUCCACAAAGUCACUUAUACAGGAGAUAAUUUGAACACGAUGUGCAGAAAAUGUUAAUAUAACUUCAAUGGGAUUUGUGCCACAAUUGCUAAAACAUUAGCAUGUGGAGACAGUGCCAGGGAAGCUAAACCAAGGCAUGGAUUGCUGUCAUACCUUGUCCAUAGACUGCUUACAGGGUAAGGAAACCAAUAUGUCAUUUUGUAAUUUGCAUAUUUUGUAUUUCAAAACUGAAUAACUUGAAUAAUUAAUUCCAAAUUAUUUUAAUACUG